rnacentral:rRNA from 1 species
AGCUAGUAGGUGGGGUAACGGCUCACCUAGGCGACGAUCCCUAGCUGGUCUGAGAGGAUGACCAGCCACACUGGAACUGAGACACGGUCCAGACUCCUACGGGAGGCAGCAGUGGGGAAUAUUGCACAAUGGGCGCAAGCCUGAUGCAGCCAUGCCGCGUGUAUGAAGAAGGCCUUCGGGUUGUAAAGUACUUUCAGCGGGGAGGAAGGGAGUAAAGUUAAUACCUUUGCUCAUUGACGUUACCCGCAGAAGAAGCACCGGCUAACUCCGUGCCAGCAGCCGCGGUAAUACGGAGGGUGCAAGCGUUAAUCGGAAUUACUGGGCGUAAAGCGCACGCAGGCGGUUUGUUAAGUCAGAUGUGAAAUCCCCGGGCUCAACCUGGGAACUGCAUCUGAUACUGGCAAGCUUGAGUCUCGUAGAGGGGGGUAGAAUUCCAGGUGUAGCGGUGAAAUGCGUAGAGAUCUGGNAGNGAAUACCGGUGGCGAAGGCGGCCCCCUGGACGAAGACUGACGCUCAGGUGCGAAAGCGUGGGGAGCAAACAGGAUUAGAUACCCUGGUAGUCCACGCCGUAAACGAUGUCGACUUGGAGGUUGUGCCCUUGAGGCGUGGCUUCCGGAGCUAACGCGUUAAGUCGACCGCCUGGGGAGUACGNGCNCGCAAGGUUAAAACUCAAAUGAAUUGACGGGGGCCCGCACAAGCGGUGGAGCAUGUGGUUUAAUUCGAUGCAACGCGAAGAACCUUACCUGGUCUUGACAUCCACGGAAGUUUUCAGAGAUGAGAAUGUGCCUUCGGGAACCGUGAGACAGGUGCUGCAUGGCUGUCGUCAGCUCGUGCUGUGAAAUGUUGGGUUAAGUCCCGCAACGAGCGCAACCCUUAUCCUUUGUUGCCAGCGGUCCGGCCGGGAACUCAAAGGAGACUGCCAGUGAUAAACUGGAGGAAGGUGGGGAUGACGUCAGGUCAUCAUGGCCCUUACGAGUAGGGCUACACACGUGCUACAAUGGCGCAUACAAAGAGAAGCGACCUCGCGAGAGCAAGCGGACCUCAUAAAGUGCGUCGUAGUCCGGAUUGGAGUCUGCAACUCGACUCCAUGAAGUCGGAAUCGCUAGUAAUCGUAGAUCAGAAUGCUACGGUGAAUACGUUCCCGGGGCCUUGUACACACCGCCCGUCACACCAUGGGAGUGGGUUGCAAAAGAAGUAGGUAGCUUAACCCUUCGGGAGGGCGCUUACCACUUUGUGAUUCAUGACUGGGGUGAAGUCGUAACAGUAACC